ACGGUUAAAUCACGCUGAAACACCGGUUCUCGUUCGAUCACCGAAGUUAAGCAUCGUAGAGCCAGGUCAGUACUUAGAUGGGGGACCGCUUGGGAACACCUGGUACUGUAAG
rnacentral:rRNA from 1 species